CAUGGGAGGACAAACACGAGGGAUGAAAGCCAGGAGGGAGAAAGCUGGAGGGCACAUCCCACAGUUCCGGCACGAGACCUGAGGGAUUUGGUGUUUCCUGGUGUUUCCCAAGCAGGGGGAGGAUCUCAGGGAGCUCGCUUUUGCCUGCAUGGGGGAAAACCAGCGCCCCAAAGGCUCAGCUGGGGCUGAUUUUCCAUCGCAUUUGUGAUCCCUUUGGGAUCCCACCGUGUCCCCGAGGCUGUCCGAGGGCCUGUGAAGGGUCCCAGCGUUGCCUCCCGCUGCGCUCAGCCCUGGCUGGUGGCUGUGCCAGAGCAGAUUCCGGCAUCCAUCGGCCGGAGGCGGAGCCCUGGAGCAGCGAGUGGGAUUUGAUCAUGUCCUCAUCUCCUGCACGUUUGAGUCAUGAGCAUAAUUCAGCAGCUCUCAGGCUCCGGGGAGGCCGGGGGAAAACAGCCUCUCCUUGGCUUUUCCUCCUCGGAAAUUGUGGGUCCUUCCCCACCCUCCUCACCCCCAGCAAAGACUUUUGGGGUGCAGAUGAUGCCAUCACACUUGGGAUGAGCUCAUCCGCACAGCGAGGGAGCUGUGCCAUGGCAGAGCUGCCCUGGCAGCCAGAGAGACCCUGGGAAAGGCGCCAUCCUUUCCAGCAAGCUUGGAAAGGGCUGGGAUGCGCAGAGCUUCUCCCGGGAAAGGAAUGCAGUGCCCUGGCAGCGAGGCUGGGGUGGCUGCUGAUAGAAAUCCUGCAGGAGCCACACGUGAGGGAGUCAUGGAUCUGCUCUCAGGGAGCUGGGAUCUGCGUGUGGAUGGAGGAGCCACACGUGAGGGAGUCAUGGAUCUGCUCUCAGGGAGAUGGGAUCUGCGUGUGGAUGGAGGAGCCACACGUGAGGGAGUUGUGGAUCUGCUCUCAGGGAGCUGAGAUCUGUGUGUGGAUGGAGGAGCCACACGUGAGGGAGUCAUGGAUCUGCUCUCAGGGAGAUGGGAUCUGUGUGUGGAUGGAGGAGCCACACGUGAGAGAGUUGUGGAUCUGCUCGCAGGGAGCUGGGAUCUGUGUGUGGAUGGAGGAACCACACAUGAGAGAGUUGUGGAUCUGCUCUCAGGGAGCUGGGAUCUGCCUGUGGAUGGAGGAGCCACACGUGAGGGAGCCGUGGAUCUGCUCUCAGGGAGAUGGGAUCUGUGUGUGGAUGGAGGAGCCACAUGUGAGGGAGUCGUGGAUCUGCUCUCAGGGAGAUGGGAUCUGCGUGUGGAUGGAGGAGCCAGCCCUGCCACGGUCCCAGAGGACCAGAACCAGGAGCAGAGCAGCUUUCCUUGAAGGCCUCGUGUUCCCUUUCCCUGGCCUCAUGUUUGGAGCAGGUGGAAGUGGCUGCAGCCAGGAGGCACCUUCGGGGUGAGUGCUCGGUGUGAGGGCCAGGCAAGGUGGCCUCUGUUAUCCAUUCCCUAAGGAUGGACAUCCUCCUUUGGCAACCCCCUGCUGUGUUUGGGGAGAAAGAACUGGAUUUUGGGGCUUUUCCUGGAUUUGUGAGGGGUUUUCGUUGGAGUCUGCCCGGGCGGAGGAGGUGCCACUGGAAUGUGGUGGCACCAUGCAGGCAACGAGCUGUGAGCGGGCAGAGCAGCCUCAGCCUUCCCUGGUGGUUCCUCCAGAUCAGCUCCAUGCAGGGAAACUGAGGAAUGACUCAAUCCCGUUGAUUCCAGAGGUGUUGCCCAAAGGCCACACAAAGUCCUGGGACCACAAUCAGCUCUGCCUGAUUCCAUAGGGUCAUAGACCAUGGAAUGGUUUGGGUUGGAAGCAACCCUAAAAACCAGUUUGCUGCACCCCCUGCCAUGGCAGGGACACCUCCCACUGUCCCAGGCUGCUCCAAGCCCCAAUGUCCAACCUGGCCUUGGGCACUGCCAGGGAUCCAGGGGCAGCCCCAGCUGCUCUGGGCACCCUGUGCCAGGGCUUGGCACCCUCCCAGGGAACAAUUCCUUCCCAAAAUCCCAUGUGUGGCAGUGCCAGAGGAGCAGAACUCUCUGCCCUGUGCUUUCAGGGUGACACCUCAGUGGGUUAUGGGGGAUCCUCAGUGUCAUUACAACACUAAUUAAUCACUGGGCCUGAUGGUUUUCCUGUGGGAUCCUUCCCGAGCCUCCCAGAAAGCCAAACUGAGCCUCACGGGCUCCAGAGCAUCCCUGCAGUGCUGGAACUGUGACAAGGCUGCGGCAAAGAGGGAACUGAGGAAGGGUUGGAUGUCCAACCCCUUUUAAAACCUUUUUUAAGGUUUUUUGAGAAGAAACCUUCUCUCUCUGGAGUCAAACUUUGCAGGUUGGGGCUGUUUCAGGAGUGCAGGUGGGACUGAGCCAUGCCCAUAAUGAGAUCAGGGUGGAGCGAUGGGCUCAGGGAGCUGAGAGAUCGGAUCCGUGGCAGGCGUUCAUUUGCAGGAGUUUUCCAAAGCUGCCUUUCCCCAGGAAUGUGGGUGCUGGGAUGUGAUUGGCACCUGCAGGACGGAUGGACAGGCAGGGAGGGAGCCGGGGAGGGAGGGCAGGCACGGAUCCCUCUCCGUGGCGCCGAGCGUGGCUCCCAUUCGCGCUAAUCUCAUUAGGGCCGCUCGCACUAAGCCCCCGAGCCUGCCUUAUCCAGGGAGUGGCUGGGCCGUGCUCUGGGCCAGGCUCAGCUCGGGCAGAUGGGCAGGAGAGCUCGGUCCAGGCAGCCGUGCCUCCUUGUGGGAUUUAAUCAUGAUGCCAGGCCAGCCUGGGGAUUCACACCGGUAUAAAGGGGGCUCGGAGCACUGGGAGGGGUUGGGAGCGGAGCAGGG
rnacentral:lncRNA from 1 species